CCGGCGCACGGGUGAGUAACACGUAUGCAACCUGGCCGUCACAGGUGGAUAACCGGAAGAAAUUCCGACUAAUACAGCAUAACACUCCUGAGGGACAUCCCUUGGGAGUCAAAGGAGGCAACUCCGGUGACGGAUGGGCAUGCGGCGCAUUAGGUAGUUGGUAGGGUAACGGCCUACCAAGCCGACGAUCGGUAGCCGGACUGAGAGGUUGAACGGCCACAUUGGGACUGAGACACGGCCCAGACUCCUACGGAAGGCAGCAG
rnacentral:rRNA from 1 species